UCGAGAGUUUGAUCCUGGCUCAGGACGAACGCUGGCGGCGUGCUUAACACAUGCAAGUCGAACGAUGAACCACUUCGGUGGGGAUUAGUGGCGAACGGGUGAGUAACACGUGGGCAAUCUGUCCUGCACUCUGGGACAAGCCCUGGAAACGGGGUCUAAUACCGGAUACUGACCCUCGCAGGCAUCUGCGAGGUUCGAAAGCUCCGGCGGUGCAGGAUGAGCCCGCGGCCUAUCAGCUUGUUGGUGAGGUAAUGGCUCACCAAGGCGACGACGGGUAGCCGGCCUGAGAGGGCGACCGGCCACACUGGGACUGAGACACGGCCCAGACUCCUACGGGAGGCAGCAGUGGGGAAUAUUGCACAAUGGGCGAAAGCCUGAUGCAGCGACGCCGCGUGAGGGAUGACGGCCUUCGGGUUGUAAACCUCUUUCAGCAGGGAAGAAGCGAAAGUGACGGUACCUGCAGAAGAAGCGCCGGCUAACUACGUGCCAGCAGCCGCGGUAAUACGUAGGGCGCAAGCGUUGUCCGGAAUUAUUGGGCGUAAAGAGCUCGUAGGCGGCUUGUCACGUCGGUUGUGAAAGCCCGGGGCUUAACCCCGGGUCUGCAGUCGAUACGGGCAGGCUAGAGUUCGGUAGGGGAGAUCGGAAUUCCUGGUGUAGCGGUGAAAUGCGCAGAUAUCAGGAGGAACACCGGUGGCGAAGGCGGAUCUCUGGGCCGAUACUGACGCUGAGGAGCGAAAGCGUGGGGAGCGAACAGGAUUAGAUACCCUGGUAGUCCACGCCGUAAACGGUGGGCACUAGGUGUGGGCAACAUUCCACGUUGUCCGUGCCGCAGCUAACGCAUUAAGUGCCCCGCCC
rnacentral:rRNA from 1 species